GAUGAACGCUGGCGGCGUGCUUAACACAUGCAAGUCGAACGGGAAACCUUUUAAUGAGGCUUCGGCAGAUUUAGCUGGUUUCUAGUGGCGGACGGGUGAGUAACGCGUGGGUAACCUGCCUUAUACAGGGGGAUAACAGUCAGAAAUGACUGCUAAUACCGCAUAAGCGCACAGGACCGCAUGGUCCGGUGUGAAAAACUCCGGUGGUAUAAGAUGGACCCGCGUUGGAUUAGCUUGUUGGUGGGGUAACGGCUCACCAAGGCGACGAUCCAUAGCCGGCCUGAGAGGGUGAACGGCCACAUUGGGACUGAGACACGGCCCAGACUCCUACGGGAGGCAGCAGUGGGGAAUAUUGCACAAUGGGGGAAACCCUGAUGCAGCGACGCCGCGUGAAGGAAGAAGUAUCUCGGUAUGUAAACUUCUAUCAGCAGGGAAGAUAGUGACGGUACCUGACUAAGAAGCCCCGGCUAACUACGUA
rnacentral:rRNA from 1 species